GGUUUUUAGAUAUUAUUAAAAAUCAGGCCUGCUCAAUGUAAAAUAAAUAGCCGCGGUAUUAUGACCGUGCAAAGGUAGCAUAAUAAUUAGUCUCUUAAUUGGGGACUGGAAUGAACGGUUUAACCAAAUAUUUUUGUCUUAUGUUUAUAUUUUGAAUUUUAUAUUUUAAUAAAAAAGUUAAAAUGUACUUAAGGGACGAGAAGACCCUAUCAAGCUUUACAACUUAAUUUUUAUUUUCAAACUAAAAAUGAAAUUGUUUUACUGGGGCAGUAGAUAAUAAAAUGUUAUUUUCAUAUUGUAAUAUUAAAUUUAGUGAUAUCAAAAAAUUUUUAAAAAGUAAUAAGUUACUGUAGGGAUAACAGCAUAAUUUUUUUAAAGAGUUCUUAUCAUCAAAAAAGUUUGUGACCUCGAUGUUGGAUUAAGAUACCUAAUCUGCGCAGUAGCAUUUACAGGAAGUCUGUUCGACUUUUAAAGUCUUCCA
rnacentral:rRNA from 1 species